rnacentral:rRNA from 1 species
GGCGAAGGCGUGUCGGAGUGAAUUGUGUUAAGGGAACUCGGCAAAUUAGCCCCGUAACUUCGGGAGAAGGGGUGCCUGCCUGGAGAUCAGGCAGGUCGCAGUGACCAGGGAGCUCUAACUGUCUAAUAACAACAUAGGUGGCUGCAACUCGGAAACGACUAGUAUAGUCACUGAUUCCUGCCCAGUGCGAGUAUCUGAAUAUCCAGUUCAAUGGAACGAAGGACUCGUAAACGGCGGGGGUAACGAUGACCCUCUUAAGGUAGCGUAGUACCUUGUCGCUUAAUCGGCGACUUGCAUGAAUGGAUUAAUGAGAGCUCUACUGUCCCUAACACAAGCCCGUUGAACCUUUUGUCCUAGUGCAGAGACUAGGGACUCCUAUUGGGAAGUGAAGACCCCGUGGAGCUUUACUGCAGCCUGUCGCUGAAUUACGGUAUUACAUGCGCAGUGUAGAUGGGAGGCGUUAUAUCCGUUUCUUUCGGGAAACGGGGAGCCAGCAAUGAGACACCAUCCUUGUUUUACUGUAGUUCUCACUCCAACGAGGACAACGAUAGGUAGGCAGUUUGGGUGGGGCGCCACACCCUCGAAAAAAUAUCAAGGGUGCCCUAAGGUCAACUCAUGUGAGUCAGAAACUCACAGGAGAGUGUCAAGAGCAAAAGUUGGCCUGACGCGAUUGCGCUCAGCAAGCAAUCGCGAGAGGAAACUCGGGUCUAACGAACCAAUACGCCCUGUUGGUGAGGGCUAUUGACGACAGAAAAGCUACCCCGGGGAUAACAGAGUCGUCGCCGGCAAGAGCACAUAUCGACCCGGCGGCUUGCUACCUCGAUGUCGGUUCUUUCCAUCCUGGCUGUGCAGCAGCAGCCAAGGGUGAGGUUGUUCGCCUAUUAAAGGGGAUCGUGAGCUGGGUUUAGACCGUCGUGAGACAGGUCGGUUACUAUCUAAUAGGAGUGUCAGGAGUCUGAGGGUAAGAAUGGAAUAGUACGAGAGGAACUUCCAUUCGGCGCCACUAGUCGAUCGGUUGUCUGACAAGGCAUUGCCGAGCAGCCACGCGCCAAGGGAUAAAAGCUGAAAGCAUCUAAGCUUGAAACCCGGCCUAAAAAGAGACUCCGUUGAGGACAUGGGUAAAAGACCCGCUUGAUAGGCCUGGGAUGUACGCACGAAGGCAACGACGUGUUCAGUCCGCAGGUACUAACGUCCAAAUCC